rnacentral:rRNA from 1 species
CUAAGAAUAUUCCGCAAUGGACGAAAGUCUGACGGAGCGACGCCGCGUGGAUGAAGAAGGCCGAAAGGUUGUAAAGUUCUUUUGUUGGGGAAGAAUAACCAUGGGAGGGAAUGCCCGUGGGAUGACAUGAACCGACGAAUAAGCCCCGGCUAACUACGUGCCAGCAGCCGCGGUAACACGUAGGGGGCGAGCGUUGUUCGGAAUUACUGGGCGUAAAGGGCAUGUAGGCGGCUUUGUAAGCUUGGCGUGAAAGUCCAUGGCUCAACCAUGGGAUUGCGUUGAGAACUGCGAGGCUUGAGUGACGGAGAGGGAGCUAGAAUUCCUGGUGUAGGGGUGGAAUCUGUAGAGAUCAGGAAGAAUACCAAUGGCGAAGGCAAGCUCCUGGCCGAUGACUGACGCUGAGGUGCGAAAGUGUGGGGAUCAAACAG